GCAUGCAUGGCUGAGUGGUCGAAAGCGAUAGACUCAUAAUCUGUUCUCAUUACGAGCGCCGCAGGUUCAAACCCUGUUGCAUGCA
rfam:Coccomyxa sp. C-169 plastid, complete genome.